CCUCUGUGCGGCGUGUGCUGCGCGGUACUCACCGGCCAGGGGACGGUCCUUCGGCUUCCAGGCGGUGCCAGCGCGGAGCCCGGAUCCCAGAUGCCAGCUUUUGCGGGAUGUGAUCAUGGCAUGGAGCUGCCGAGCACAACGGCACCUCUGAGGAAGAAGCAAGGGCGAGGAAAGACGUCUCAACCCGCCUCAGUUUCCAGUCAAAGCCCAAAGGGGACCGUGCAGGAGCAAAACCACGACGCACCAAACCCCAGCAUGGCCAUAGCUGAUGCCCUUCCCGGGGGCAAGAGCCACCAGUAACACCAAGAAGGUGACUGUGGUGCUGGUGACCCACACACUGAGGACCAGAGGUGUGAGGAAACCAGCACAACGUGCCCCAAGACCUCUCCAAAGGCCUUGCUGUCAGAAAGGCAAUAAAAGGAGCUCAGCUU